ACUACGCGUAUAUACCAGUAUCUAUAUAUAUAUAUAUAGAUAGAUAGAUAGAUAGAUAGAUCGUUUAUUUGUUUGUUACUAAUCACACACAACAUGUACAUAAGAAUAGACAAUACAUAAAACAACAUAAGAUUUAUAAUUGUGUUAUUAUGUGUGAUCUGCAGCAAUACAAAAAGGUCGAAGCUCAGCGUGUAACAUUGUUCAAGGAACAAAACACUGAUUUUCAGCUUUAACCCAUUUGAGGGUACGUGAAAAUAAUAAAUAAAAUAAAUACAAAAUAAAAAGAGUAAUAUUUUUGGUGAUUGUCUGUGCAGUGUGUGUAUAAUAAAAAUAAUGUAAAUAGUUCAAGAGUAUAAUUUGAUAUAAUUUUAACUGAGUGGUAAGGAUAAAGCGAAAAAAAAAAAGAAAAUAUUAAUAAGAGAAACAUGGAAAAAAAAAAAAUAUUAAAAAUCAUUACAUGAGUUUGCAACCGCUAGCCAAGAAAUUUCUGUGGAAUGCCUAAAAUUUGUUUUUUUAAUAAGUAUUCUUUGUGAUGUUUUUUAAAACUUUGUACGGUAGUCAGAUGCCUAAAUGGUGGCGGGAUGUUGUUCCAACAUUUUGUUGCUUGGUAGCGGAAGCUGCCAGUAAAUGCCACAGUUCUGUGUGCUUGAAAUGAUAAUUUCGAACAAAUGAAUCUGUAUCCAUACAUACGUGAAGAGAAAUUUAGCUUUUCAAAGAGAUAAACUGGCUGUUCACUUUUUAUUACAUCGAACAAUAGACUAGCCAGAUGUAACUGUCUUCGCGAUUCCAUAUUCAAAAUUGAAGCAUUGUUUAAAUAGGGACUAAUAUGGCUUCGGGGGGGAAUAUUAAAGCAAAAACGACAACAUGCAUUUUGCACUCUCUGAGUCAGGCGUUGAGUUCUGGCCAAUAGUCGUGGUCCAUACACAAUGUCUCCAUAAUUAAAUUUGGAUAAGAUUAAUGAUUCGCAUAGUGUAAUACGAACUUUUUCCGAUAAUAAAUUACGAAUUUUAUAUAAGACCUUAAGGCGAUAAAAACAUUGUUGUACUACAUUUAAUAUAUGCCUUUCAAAUCGCAGCCGACUGUCAAAAAUAAUCCCCAAGUUUCGCGCUUCUUCCACUCGUUCAAUACUCUGAUCCAGGAUAUUUACUGUAAUAUUUUUAUUUAUUAUGUCAGUAAUUUGUUUUGUUGAUCCAAGAAUCAUAUAUUUUGUUUUGUUGGGAUUAAUAACCAAUGCAUUUUCUUGUGACCAGGCAGCAAUUUUCUCCAAGUCCUUAUUAAGUUUAUGAGCAGCGUCAGUAAUCGCAGCGGGGGCUCCAGAGAUAUAAAUUUGUAUAUCAUCAGCGUAACAAUGAAAAUUACAAUAGUUUAUUGCAUUUUCAAUGUCAGCACAAUAAAUAAUAAAAAGAAGUGGCCCGAGUAUCGAACCCUGAGGUACUCCACGGUCUACCAGCUUAGGCUCUGACACUGAGUAGGAACCAUCCAGCUUUUGUAUUUUUACCGAUUGGUAUCGGUUGCUAAGGUAACUAUGAAACCAUCCCACAGAGUGCCGAUCCAAACCAUAAUAUGUCAGCUUUGAAAGCAAAAGAGGUACAUUUAAACAAUCAAAAGCGCGAGAGUAGUCGAGUAAAGUUAAAAUAGUACCAUUACCAACAUCUUGUGAAGCAAGAAUAUUAUCUACAACAUCCAGUAAAGCAGUGGUAGUGCUUUUACCUUUACGGAAUCCUGACUGAUACUUUGGCAGGAUGUUGUUUGUUUCAACGUAUUUCAGCAACUGAGUAUGAACGGCUUUCUCCAAGACUUUGGACAGAAAGGAUAGAAUACUUAUUGGUCUGAGAUCAUUAAACUCGGCAGGAUUAUUAAUUUUGGAUAAAGGAGUAACCAAUGCAUGUUUCCAUUGACUAGGAACUUUAGACGUAACAAUAGAUUUAUUAAUUAUGUUGGUUAUAAUUGCUAGUGUACGAGGAAGAGUCAAUAGUAUCAUGUCUCUACUCACCCGAUCACUACCCAAUGCAUUAGAUUUUAUUGCCGAGAUAUACCUAGCAACAUCACUCUCUGACACCGGCUGCAAUCGAAAACCAGCUGUACCAUACCUAUGAAACUCAUAGUAAGUGAGUUUUGAUAAAGACACAUUAUUCGGUCCAGGUACAUUUAAAAAAUGUGCAUUAAUGUUGUCGGGGUUAUUGAAAAAGGACGGUAGUAUAUCACUUUUAGGGGAGUCCACGGAAAUAUUUUCCUUUAACUUUUUCCAGAAUAUUUUACCAUUACUUUGUUGAGAGUUUAUAUGAUAAUUAUAGUAAGCUCGCUUUUCCCGAUCGAUACUACUGUGAACGAGAUUUUUAAGGUCUUUAUAAUAUUUAUUGUGUACCUCCAAUCCUGUCCUCCUAUACAUUAACAGUGCUUUAUUACGCAAGUCAAUCAUACGUCUGAUGGUAUCGGUUACCCAUGGUAGUGAAUGUUUGCCAUUAAUUUUAAUCCUUUUUUCAGGAGCAUGUCCAUCAAAAAGGAAUAGCAACAUCGAGUUAAAAGUGUCGACCAUCAAGUCAACACAAGCCAGGCUAUUUAUGUAUUCCCAAUUUAUAGAAUUUAAAUGUAGAUUAAAAUAUUCCAGGUUAAUAUCCCUGAUGGGUCGAUGUAUAAAAUAUUUAAUUGGCAUUUUACACUUUUUUAUUGUGAGUUCGAAAUUAAUCAUCGCAUGCCCCAAGGAACCUCUAAUAAAAUUGUUCGAAAUACUGCGGACCGGUGCAUUAGUACACACUAGGUCAAUAAGCGUUUCAGUGUCGGUUGACAAGUGUGUUGGCUCAGUGACUAUUUGCGUGAGGCUAGUAUAGUGUAGAAACUCUACUAUUUUUUGUGCAUUAUUAUUAUGCAAAUUCAGCAUAUUAACAUUUAAAUCUCCCAUAAAAACCGUAUAGUCAUAAUUAGAAAAAUAAGUCACAGUUUCCGUUAUAGCAUCCAAAAAUUAUCAAUGUUCAUCCAUUGAGGACGAUAUGCCGUACCGAUUAAUAUAUUGUAGCAAUUAAUACGCGUAGACAACCACAUCUGUUCGAUACUAGCCGCUGGGUGUUUGAGUAUGCGCACACGCACAUUACGUUUCACGUAGAAGGCUAGUCCCCCCCCGCGGCCGGCGCGCAUGCUUACCGGUCGCGGUGAGCUAUACAGUCUGUAGUCGGCGACGGCGGGCGCACAUCCCUCCUCACCCGAGCGAAGCCAUGUUUCAUUUAUUGCAAUGAAGUCGGCGUUGAAACGAUUCACUGCAACUAUAAAUUCGUCUCGUGCUGUAUUGAGUGACCCGGCAUUGUAUAGACCUAACUUAAUGAACUUAUUUGAAUUGAAGAAUUGUAUGAUGUAUAAAAAUAAAUACCACAAAGGAGUCAACACAAGAUUAUGUGAAUAUAUGGAUGAUACAAUAAAAAGUAUAUACAUUAUGAUAAAAAUUGAAUAGAUUUUACUCAGUAUGCUAUACAACACCGACAAAAUGGAAUAAAUAAUAUAAAAUUCAUAACUAAAGUUUAAGUAAAAUACUGUGGAUAUAUAGAUACCGAUAUUGACAUAUGAAGUGACCUUCAGUGGACUUAUACUUACCUUAUUCGUUUUGAAUUUGAGUUGAGCCAACUGCGUCAGACCCAAAAACCCUAAGAAGGUCCCGAUCAGUUCGAAUGCGCAGAGGAAGAGCAUCCGUACCGUGGUCUUGUCUUACAAAUAUUCUACCACUGCUGGUCCACACGAACCGCCAGUUGAAGCGCCCAGCAAGUUCCCGUGUCCGUCGAAACAGGAGACGAUUGACCCUUGUCAACCUUUCGUUAACAUAGAAACGCUGUGGUGGCCCGGGCAGACCGGUGUCUGAUGUGGUGGCAUCCCUCCGUACGCGAGCAGCUUUAAGCAGUUGAUCACGAAGAACUCUGCGGCCAAGUCGAAUAACAAUGAGACGGGGACGAGAAUGUUUAGACGAUGAUGACGACGACUCCUGUGGCGCCUGUACUGGACCAACCCGCAUGACGCUGACCAGAUCCUCGUCAACCAACUUGACACCCAACUUGCUUGCAAUAGUCAUGACAAUGUGAGGCAGACUUUCACCCUUCUGUUCGAUAAUGCCCGAAAUCUCGAUGUCGUUUAAUAAACACUCUUGGUCUCUAUCAUUGA